rnacentral:lncRNA from 1 species
UUAAGAUAUCCAUUAUAAAGUUCGUGAUUACGAGCAACCAAACAAAUCUGGUUUCAGCCUUCAAAAUAAACUGGAAUAUGGCUGGGAUCAGAGUUUCUUCUAAUUUUGUAUAUUUCCUUGUUCUGUUAGCAAUGGCAUUUUCUUUCUUUGCACAGCUUACUUCAGUUAGUGCAGGUUUGUGUAGCUACUACCUCUUUAAAAUAUGCAAACACAUAUGAACAACAUGUGUUUAGAAUUGUAAGAUCAUUAUCACUGUCAUUAGUGUUAGGUAUACGAUGAAUGCAUGAAAGUGUUUACCACGUUGGAAAUCCCGCAUCGACUAGAGAUAAGGCCUUAUUUGCACCUAAUUUAUGAUAGAAUAAAGAGAUUUUAUUUUUAGGUAAGUUGAUAUUUUAUCGUCAGUUUUUUUAUUAUUUGUAGUUGGUCCAAGACCUAAUUUGUACCUAUUUAAAGGUUGCCAAAGUUUAAUGAAAAUAACCCACAAUGGAUUGAAGAGUAAUAUUAUUUGUGUGGAUCAAACCCACAAUGGAUUGAAGAGUAAAAUUAUUUGUGUGGGUCACGCUAUGAGUGUGUAAGGGAGAUUUUCCCAACAGUAGUAUCAGAGCUAUGUUUUGUGGGGUUGAGUUAGGUCUAAAACUCACUUGUAACACUUCUAACAUACCACGUAAAGUAAAAGUAAAUUUUGUUGCAGUUAAAAGCAUAUUGUGUAUCUUGAAAAGUUUAUAACGUAGUGUGAUCUUGAUUUGCAGAUCUUAAAGUGAGAAAAUUGGGUGUGAUGCCAAGGUCUCCUCCUUCACCUGCGAGUAAUCCAUCUCAGCAUACAACCACCUGAUCUUUCUCCUCCAGCCAUUUAAAUUUUCAUUUCGUGCUUAUAUAUCUUGUUAUUGUUAUUGAAAACAUACUCAGUAUUUGGUCAGAGGGUUCUGACAUUCUUCUUCUUCUGCUGUUUCGUCUGUGUUUUGUAAUAAGUCAGGUUUCAGGCACUUUUGUUGGUUUUGAAUUGUUUUGUGGUGACUUCUUUAAUCAAUC